rnacentral:rRNA from 1 species
GAUCUUCGGAUGGUGAAACCUAUGGCGAACGGGUGCGUAACACGUGAGAACUGCCCGGACUCUGGGAUAACAGUUGGAAACGACUGCUAAUACCGGAUGCCGUCGGACCGUCGCAUGGCGGACCGACGAAAGGGUUACCGGAUCGGGAGGGUCUCGCGGCCUAUCAGCUUGUUGGUGAGGUAACGGCUCACCAAGGCAUCGACGGGUAGCUGGUCUGAGAGGAUGAUCAGCCACACUGGGACUGAGACACGGCCCAGACUCCUACGGGAGGCAGCAGUGGGGAAUAUUGCACAAUGGGCGAAAGCCUGAUGCAGCAACGCCGCGUGCGGGAUGAAGGCCCCAUAGGGUUGUAAACCGCUUUCAGCAGGGAAGAAAAUGACGGUACCUGUAGAAGAAGGUGCGGCCAACAUACGUGCCAGCAGCCGCGGUGACACGUAGGCACCAAGCGUUGUCCGGAUUUAUUGGGCGUAAAGAGCUCGUAGGCGGUUCAGUAAGUCGGGUGUGAAAACUCUGGGCUCAACCCAGAGACGCCACCCGAUACUGCUGUGACUAGAGUGCGGUAGGGGAGCGGGGAAUUCCUAGUUGUAGCCGGUGAAAUGCGCAGAUAUUAGGAGGAACACCAGUGGCGAAAGCGCCCGUCCGGGGCGGUACUGACGCUGAGGAGCAAAGCGUGGGUUAAAAAAGGAAUUAGAUACCCCUGGGAAGUCACGCCGAAAACUUGGCCCAAGUGUGGG